rnacentral:tRNA from 1 species
CUGGGUGGUGCAAACAGUUAAUGCGCUUGGCUGCUAAUCAAGAGGUUGGAGGUUCAAGUCCACCCAGA